GUGGCAGAUAGAAUAAUGUCCCCAAAGAUGUCCACACCCUGAUCCUCAUGUGGGGGGACAGAAUAAUAUCCCCUAAGACGUUCUCUUCCUGAUUC